AUGAGCCAUUCGCAGUUUCACUGUACCGGCCGUGCGUACUUAGACAUGCAUGGCUUAAUCUUUGAGACAAGCAUAUGCUACUGGCAGGAUCAACCAGGUAGGGGCGCGAGCACGAGGAGCCGGGCGUGCCGGGAAAGCGGGGCGGGGCGGAGAGGCCACGGACGCGGCACGCGCGCCGGAAGACCCGCGAGGCGAGGGAGCCAGGGGGGAGGGGGGGAGUGGCGGGAGGGCGCUCGCCCGGCCGGGAGGCCCGGCCGCGCCCCCCGUCCCGCGCCGCGGCGGGGACGCCCGACCGCGCGCACGCUCUCGGUCCACGAGGGUCGCAGCGCACCGCCGCCACCGCGCGGAGGGCCGAGGAGGGGGAGGGAGAGGGCGGCGGAGCCCCCUCUCCCUCCACCCCCGCACCCGCCCCCCCCCACCGCGAGCCCGCCCGCCCCGGGGGGGACUCCACCACGGCCAAGGCCACACCGCGGACGGCCGACGCGCGCCCUCGGCGUCCGGCCGUCACACCCGCCCCAGAGGGGCGGGGGACGCCGGCCGGCGAGGACACGGCGACCGGCCCGCGGUGGGCAAGACCGGGGACCCGACCCGCGCUCGGGCGAGCGCACCGGAGCGGGGGGCCGCGGCGGGGCGGGGGAGGGGGGAGAUCACGGGAGCUCCCCCUCGUCCAGCACGCGACGGCGGCGACGGACAGGCGGCGGCGAAACGGGCAACGGAUCGGGACCGCGGCGGGCCCGGAAGCGAGACACACCAGGGCGCGGCCCCGGGAGGCAGCAGACGGCGAGCGGACUGAGGCGGACGGACAGACGGAGAGGGGCACCGACGGGGUGCGGCCACGCGAGGCCAACGCCACGGAACAGGGGCGGUGUUGGUGGGGCGGCCGCGCGCCACCGCGAGGGGCAUGGCUCAAAGCGACCCGUGCUGGGGCAGGGGGAAGCGCGAGUCGGCCGCCAGGGCCCACCGCGGGAUCUCACCGCCAGAGGCCUCCCAGCACAGGGACGGUCCCACCGCACGCCCGGGACGACGGACUGGCGCCCCCCCCCCGGCACCCUCACGGGGGCUCACGCCCACCGCCACCGACACACACCCGAGAGCCGCAAGCCGGCCAGGGAGAACGCUCUCCCGCCGCGCACCGGCGGCCCCCACGUCCCCCACACGCGCAAAGCUCCCCGCGCGCCGCCCCGCCUCGGGGACGCCACCGGCCGACGGAGGCCAGGGGACGACACCCACAUGAGGCGAGGCCGGCUCGGCCCCAGACAGGGGAAGGGGGCGCGGGGCGGUCGCACGCGUGGGACGAGGAGGAGAGGCCGGCAGCGGCGGGGAGGGGCCGGCAAGCACGCACGGCGGGGGCCGCGGGACAGGGCCGCGGGCGCCAUCCGGGGACCACAAAGACACCGGGAACACGGCCGGGCCACCAGGAAAACCAGCGCGGGGUCCCACCGCCACCCACACACGAGGGCGGUCCCGCGACACGCCUGGGACGCCGACCGGUCCCGGCCAGCCCCAGAGCGGGCCCCCACGACCCGGCCCCGCCGCCAGGGCCGGCGAGCCGCCCAAACCCAUCUUCCGCCACCCGUCCUCGACAGAUCCGUCUUCCGAUCUAAGUCUGCCACCCCGAGGCUCGACAUCCUGGGGAUCACGCUCUCGAGCGAGGCGGCCCCGACCGUGACCGCACGCCGCCACCGGCUGCGGCUCGUGGGGAGAGGGCGGGCGCGAUAG
rnacentral:lncRNA from 1 species